GCCAAAGUCGGAUGCUUAACCAACUGAGCCCCCCGGGUGCCCCCCAAACCAUGCAUUCUUACAUCCUAGUCCUGGAGUAGAAACUUCUUGUGAUUAAUGUUAAGUAGCAUUCUGGUGCCUCUCAGGUCCACAUUGAUUUUAGUCACUGUGAGUCAGUUUCUUAAGGCCUGGGCAUGACAUGAUGGGCCUCUACACCCUCUAGCAACAGGCAGCAUCCCAUACUAGUGAUCGAAUUGGGGUUCUGCCGGUGUCAACCAGACUUCUGUAUGUGACACCCUUACUGCCAGAUUAUCUUCUUACGGCUGCCUGCCUACCUUACUGGACUCGGGCAAGGACAGAACGAUGUACUAAAUGCUUUGUACGCUGUGGAAGUGUCGUACAAGUGCUAGUGUUACCGCUGUGGGACCAGGUCUGGGAGUGAGAGUAAGACAGGAGCAUGGGUGCAGCUGAAAGCCAGAUGGUGAGUAUCUGUCACCAAAGGGCAACACUGCUGAGCACCCAACUUACAAGGUAUUUCUUAUGUGACAGAUGUGACUUGAUGGGAGCUUUACAGUUUGACUUCUCUUUAGCAGCGUUGAUCUUAAAAGGGGGCAUUGUGCAUGCCAUGGCUGGACGGAAUCCUGAACCCUUUAAAAAUCCCACCAACGACUCUGAAGAUCCCACCAAGAGCUCCUGUUGCCACGCAGUCGUUAUGACCAGCAAUAGUGGCCUGCACCAAGGCUCAAAGGCGAAGCCAGAUUCUUCCCUACUAAUAGGACAAUCAUGGAGUCACCGGUGUUCCGUAUGACCUCUGCGGUUGUCUGGAAUCUUGAUGUUGACCAUGAUGCCUUGGGAGAAUUGGGUUUACAAAGUGGGGUAUUGCACUGCUAUUUGCCAUCUAGCAUCUAGCGCGGAGAAAAAGCAGGAGGAAUGUAAAAAGCAUAGCUGCAGGCACAAAGAAUGAUAAUGAGAACUUGGAAUUCCUAAGCAUGUAACCUAGAAGAAAAUGUUUGCAGAAAUAAACAUGAAAUUAGGAUCCCUUAUAGCACAAAGUGCCACAAGAGUCCGUCGGUCAGGAUGGAGAAGGAAAUGGCCCCUAGGGCCUGGCCCCUCGGGGGCAAACAGGGGAGACAGACUUGCAGUCACAUGACCUCUUUACUAGCUUGAGUCCUUUUUUACCCAGAAUCCUUAGCUAAUCUGAGUGUAGGUAGAGAUUAGGUAUAAAAGGUAGGAUGGAGAGACUAUUUCCACUGCUCAGUCCUUCAUACAUUCCAAAAUAUACGUGAAGUGUGCCAGGCACUGCCGGGCAUUGAAAGUAAAAGGGCAAGCAAAAGCCAACACAGUCCCUGUCCUCCCUGAGGCUUACAGUCUCACAGGGGAGGCGGGCAUUAAUCACAUCACAUACGGCUGUGAAGGGACAGUGGUGUGCAGUGGAGAGCGGUGGUAGCUGGGAGGGCUUAGAGCAAGGAGCUAGGACAGGAACCGGUCAGGGAAGCCUAGGGAAGUGAUGACGGAAUUGAAAUCCAUACGUGGGUGCUAACAAGGCCGAGUGAAAUGCCUCUUUCUGUAUUCUGCGUCAGUUGGCAUUCGCUUUACCCGACCACCUCUUGAGACAAACUCGGCAGGGAUACGUCCUCUGCAGGAAAGCUGAGUGACGGUUGCUUUUUAGAGAUUGGAGUGGGUGGGCUGACAGGUAUACGUGUGUGUUUAUGAUCUAAGGCAGCCAACGUGUUUAUCCUGUUAGGGCGUCCCAAGGGACGGAGGCCCUCGUUUUACUUACCAGUAAACCACAGAUCAAAUUUAACAUCAUAACGCUGCACCUGGUUGAUGCUUCAGCGCUCACAACUCCAGAGUGAUUUCCGAAGCACUUUGUUACACUGGGGACAAUUCCUAAACCCUCAGACUUUGUUUUUUCCUCACCUUGGGGAUCUUGGGCUCUGCAGAUUACUCUUAACUUUGCUGGCAGGGCAACUGAAUUGAGUUUAGACUCCGUUGUAUCGCAGGCCAAUGAACAGGCCACCCCCCCCCCCCACCUCCCACACAAACUGUCAUGCUGUUUGUUUCCGAAUUGUUACUAUUAACAUUGCUUAAAGGCGAGGGCACUUGCCAGAACCUGGAUGUCUCCUAGAAAAUUUCUGUUGCAAUAUAAUUUCAUCUAUAGUAGAGUUAUACAAUUACCAGACCCUUUUCCCAACUGAAAUGAAUGGUAAGCUUUUUAUCCUG